AAACGAAGGUUACUUCGGAAAAAAAGGUAAGGUAAGCUUGGCGGGCCUUGCCCCUUGAGGAAGCGCAAGUGGAAUUAAGGCAUAUGUCACCAGCUCCAACAGAAGAGGUCGUACUCAACUGGAAUUACGAAAAGGAGUUAGGCGGGAGUCUGAAAAAAGAAACAAAAAGAUGACCAAAUUAAAAGGAGCGGGCCGUUUUGACCUGAUCCGGAAAAUGGUAUCCUGAGAAGGGAUGCGAUGACUACCAUUAGCCAGGAGGCGUAAAGAAAUCGAGCGAAGCUCCGGCCGGAAAUAUUAUUUAAGGUCGAAAAGAUGGAAAUGCGACUAAGGGAUUGAAUGACAAGGCAAGUUGCUAAAUCCCAAACGGUAGCAGUAAGAAUGUUACCGACUGCGAAUAAAAAAGUAAUCUGAGAGAUAAAAGGCCAGACCCGUACCCUUGGGCAAACACUUCACCAAAAGUGGAGGUCGACCUGGGGGAAAAGGAAAGGAAUGAAACCGUCGCGGAUAAAUUCCUAGCCGUGUCUGAAUAAAGAAAUCGGCAGAUGACAAUAUUCAGGCUGAGAGGCCUUACUCAAUAACUUGAUUGGGAAAUCAAUUAAGCGGUCCUGCUACGAGAUCGAUAGCUUCCUUGCCAGGAAGAAUAGCGUCGGGGAACUGACAACCUGCGAAAGUGGAGUGCCAAAUGUUAGUGAAGGACGAGAGUGUGGCGAGCUCC
rnacentral:ncRNA from 1 species